rnacentral:lncRNA from 1 species
CUCUCAUUAUAAUAACAAAAUGUAUUCAUAUAUGCAGUGGAGUUAUAUGAGAGAUAUGAUCCUGAAGCAAAUUCAUAGCAACUAUGGUCAAACCUGCACUUGUGAGCACUAGAGCAACACUCAGCUCCAUGAGAUGUUCAUCCUCCACAGUACUGGAAACUUAGCUCUCCCAACAGAUGGCAAAAUUGUGCCUCAUGUCCCGACCUCCCUCAGGACCUUGUACUCAUUGAGGAAUUUGGGAAACAAAAACAACUAACAGUUGAAAGCAGAGUGUAAAAUUGUAGAGUAUAGAACAGAGGAAACUGGCUAUAGGAAAAUGGACAAUCUUGCCUCUACCAAAAACAGCUCUCAGAGGUGAGUGGUUUAAAAUUGACUUGGUGACUAGUGGGCCAGAUCUGCUUUUGUAAACUGGAUCUGCCACUUUCUUGCAGUGA